CAUGCUCCUGUUUGUUGCAACUCUGGAACAUUUCUUUGACACUGCUGUUUCAUGUGGUAUGCUGGCUCAGCUGCCCAUCUGUUUUCUGCCUAACACAGGACCAUUGAGAAAAAUAAAGGAGAGAGAAGGAAAAAAUCUUGAGUCCCCUAUGUCGGGGACUUUUUCUAACCUAAAGUGGUGGAUUCAUAGAUUGCAUGGCCACUCUGCACAGAAUCUAAGCUUCGAGAUGCUCUAUGAUGACAUUUGUAAACAUAAAACAAAGGAGUUCUCAGAGUGGCCGCGCAGAGCAAUCAGGGCAGAAUCAGUUGCUGGAGACACUCAGAAGAAGAUUUUACAGCAUGGAUUCCUGUUCUUCGGUGAGAAGGCCUAGGAGUCACGGACUUUGUAUUCAUAAUCUUACCUGGGCCACUUUCCCUUCAUGCCUGUGUGACCUGAAUAAAAUGUCUCAUACCCACA
rnacentral:lncRNA from 12 species